rnacentral:rRNA from 1 species
GAUGAACGUUGGCGGUGUGCCUAAUACAUGCAAGUCGGACGGGGAGUGCAAAGUAGUAAUACCUUGUGCUCUUAGUGGCGAACGGGUGAGUAACGCGUUGGUGACCUGCCCCGAAGAGGGGGAUAACAGUCCGAAAGGACUGCUAAUACCCCAUGUGGUCUCAGGGAUUAGAUGCCCUGAGUCUAAAGGAGUAAUCCACUUUGGGAGGGACCUGCGUCCCAUCAGCUAGUUGGUAAGGUAACGGCCUACCAAGGCUUCGACGGGUAGGGGACCUGAGAGGGUGGCCCCCCACAAUGGAACUGAAACACGGUCCAUACACCUACGGGUGGCAG